CCUACGGGAGGCAGCAGUGGGGAAUAUUGGGCACUGGAGGCAACUCUGACCCAGCAACGCCGCGUGAAUGAUGAAGGUCUUCGGAUUGUCAAGUUCUGUGAUGGGGGAUGCACACAAUGACGGUACCCCAAUAGCAAGCCACGCCUAACUACGGUCCAGCAGCCGCGGUAAUACGUAGGUUGCAAGGGUUAUCCGGAUUUAUUGGGUUUAAAGGGUGCGCAGGCGGCCUGUUAAGUCAGCGGUAAAAGCCCGGGGCUCAACCCCGGCGAGCCGUUGAAACUGGCUGGCUGGAGUUGGAGAGAAGUACGCGGAAUGCGCGGGGUAGCGGUGAAAUGCUGAGAUAUCGCGCAGAACCCCGAUUGCGAAGGCAGCGUACCGGCUCCACACUGACGCUGAGGCACGAAAGCGUGGGUAUCGAACAGGAUUAGAUACCCGUGUAGUC
rnacentral:rRNA from 1 species